rnacentral:rRNA from 1 species
UGAGGAAUAUUGGUCAAUGGGGGCAACCCUGAACCAGCCAAGUCGCGUGAAGGAUGAAGGUCUUAUGGAUUGUAAACUUCUUUUACACGGGAAUAGAGUGGGGGACGUGUCCCCCUUUGCAUGUACCGUGUGAAUAAGGAUCGGCUAACUCCGUGCCAGCAGCCGCGGUAAUACGGAGGAUCCGAGCGUUAUCCGGAAUUAUUGGGUUUAAAGGGUGCGCAGGCGGGAUGUUAAGUCGGCGGUGAAAUUUUGCAGCUCAACUGUAGAAGUGCCUUAGAUACUGGCCUCCUUGAGUGUGGAUGAAGUAGGCGGAAUUUGUGGUGUAGCGGUGAAAUGCUUAGAUAUCACGAGGAACUCCGAUUGCGCAGGCAGCUUACUAAGCCACAACGGACGCUCAUGCACGAAGG